rnacentral:rRNA from 1 species
CUGCCAGACUCCUACGGGAGGCAGCAGUGGGGGAUAUUGCACAAUGGGGGGAACCCUGAUGCAGCGACGCCGCGUGAGUGAAGAAGUAAUUCGUUAUGUAAAGCUCUAUCAGCAGGGAAGAAUAAAUGACGGUACCUGAGUAAGAAGCCCCGGCUAACUACGUGCUAGCAGCCGCGGUAAUACGUAGGGGGCAAGCGUUAUCCGGAUUUACUGGGUGUAAAGGGAGCGUAGACGGUUACGCAAGUCUGGAGUGAAAGGCGUGGGCCCAACCCCCGGACUGCUUUGGAAACUGUAAAUCUUGAGUGCCGGAGAGGUAAGCGGAAUUCCUAGUGUAGCGGUGAAAUGCGUAGAUAUUAGGAGGAACACCAGUGGCGAAGGCGGCUUACUGGACGGUAACUGACGUUGAGGCUCGAAAGCGUGGGGAGCAAACAGGAUUAGAUACCCGAGUACC